UGGAGAUGUGUUGCCUAGCAACCGGCUGUUGGACUCCAAACAGCCACGCACACAGUGGUCCGCAGGCACUUGGAGACACCGGGGACAAUAUUUGAGUAUCUCCAAUGAGCUUGCUAGGACCAGCAUAUUAUUACUUGGAAGAGGUAGUUCCUGGAAUUCAUGUUAGAGUCACAUCUCAGGUAGUACCUGUUGGCUCCCUGUGAGGCAGAGGAGAGAUACAUCUCUGCAUAAUGACACGCAGGUCCAGACACCUAGAACAACAUGGCCAGGGACACCCAGGGCCAGUGUUCUCCAAAUCAGGGUGUGUGCGCUGCAGGAAUUGAGCUUUCAACUUUGUAGUCCAGCCCACUGCCAACAUGGCUCGAAGCCCUUUGCUCAUCUAACUCCUCCGUACCUCUUUAACUCACUCUGCUGCAUGGCAGAUUAGACGAUGGAUUAGCUCAUGAACUUUCCAUUGC